AACUCAACAGACACUUCACAGAAGAAGAAAUAUGGAUGGUCAAGAAAUAUAAGAAAAAAUGUUCAACAUCUCUAACAAUCAGAGAAAUACAAAUUAGAACUACACUGAGAUUUUAUCUCACUCUAGACAGAAUGGCAAUUGUCAAGAAUAUAGAUAAUAAUAAAUGUUGGUGAGGAUGUGGGGGAAAAGAUACACUCAUACAUUGCUGGUGGGACUGCAAAUUAGUGCAAGCACUCUAGAAAGCAGUGUGGAGAUUCUUCUGAAAACUUGGAAUGGAACCACCAUUUGACCCAGUCAUCCUACUCCUUGGCAUAUACCCAAAGGACUUAAAAACCACACACUAUAGUGAUGAGGCCACAUCAAUGUUCAUAGCAGCUCAAUUCACAAUAGCUAAGCUAUGGAACCAACCUAGGUGCCCUUCAAGAGAUAAAUGGAUAAAGAAAAUGUGGCAUACAUGUAAAAUAGAAUAUUUCUCAGUCAUAAAGAAGAAUGAAAUGAUGGCAUUUGCCGGUAAAUGGAUGAAACUGGAGGCUAUCAUGCUAAGUGAAAUGAGCCAAUUCCAAAAAAAUCAAAGGCUGAAUAUUCUCUCUGAUAUGCAGAUACUGACUCACAAUAGGCAAGGUGUGGGGGGAUGGAGGAGUGGAGG
rnacentral:lncRNA from 1 species